GAAACAUGUAAUGUACAAAAUGGCAGUCCCCUCCUUCCAGCUCCCUUGGGGUUGCCAUUUUUGUGAGUUUGGAGUGCAUUCUUCCAUAUCUCUUUCUAAGCUCUGUGCCUGGGAGGGAGCCCUGUGGGUUGGGAGCUCUGGGGUGCAAAUGGUAUCUGAGGACUCAUUUCCACAUAGAGUUGGACACCAUGAUUGCUCAAGGACAGGCAGUGAAGUGGGAAAACAAAAUGCUGCAGCUGGUGCCCAGGGCAGGGCAGGUAAGGAGAGCAGGCAACGGGAGUAGAGGGCAGGAGGGGAACCGGGGUUGCCCUCUCAUGGACUCUAGGAGGCCCAAAGUUUCUACACUGUCACCUCCCUUUGAGGUCAGGGCUGAAGGGCCACAGUGACCAACAGAGGACCUGUGGAACUGUUAGGACAAGAGCAAGGGAACAGCAUCCAUCCUGAGUGGAGGAGAAUGGUGAAACCCCAGGGUGUAGUUCAGUUACUACAACUCCAACCUGCAAUCUGGGUCUCAAGGGGAGGCCAGAAAGACUGGGAGGGACCACCCACCUUCACUCUGCACAGUAUCUUCUCUGUGGAGAGGGAGGGCACAUGGCAGUCCACCAUAUUGGGCUGGCCAGUGGCCGUUGAUGCCUGUGCUGUUUCUCCAGCUCCUUGGUUAGCUUAAUGGAAACAUUCAACGAGAAGGCUGAGCAGCUGGUGGAGAUUCUAGAAGCCAAGGCAGAUGGGCAGACCCCAGUGUCCAUGCAGGACAUGCUGACCUACACCGCCAUGGACAUCCUGGCCAAGGCAGCUUUUGGGAUGGAGACCAGUAUGCUGCUGGGUGCCCAGAAGCCUCUGUCCCAGGCAGUGAAACUUAUGUUGGAGGGAAUCACUGCGUCCCGCAACACUCUGGCAAAGUUCCUGCCAGGGAAGAGGAAGCAGCUCCGGGAGGUCCGGGAGAGCAUUCGCUUCCUGCGCCAGGUGGGCAGGGACUGGGUCCAGCGCCGCCGGGAAGCCCUGAAGAGGGGCGAGGAGGUUCCUGCCGACAUCCUCACACAGAUUCUCAAAGCUGAAGAGGGAGCCCAGGACGACGAGGGUCUGCUGGACAACUUCGUCACCUUCUUCAUCGCUGGUCACGAGACCUCUGCCAACCACUUGGCGUUCACAGUGAUGGAGCUGUCUCGCCAGCCAGAGAUCGUGGCAAGGCUGCAGGCCGAGGUGGAUGAGGUCAUUGGUUCUAAGAGGUACCUGGAUUUCGAGGACCUGGGGAGACUGCAGUACCUGUCCCAGGUCCUCAAAGAGUCACUGAGGCUGUACCCACCAGCAUGGGGCACCUUUCGCCUGCUGGAAGAGGAGACCUUGAUUGAUGGGUUCAGCACCUAUGUCAUGGGGCGGAUGGACACAUACUUUGAGGACCCGCUGACUUUCAACCCCGAUCGCUUCGGCCCUGGAGCACCCAAGCCACGGUUCACCUACUUCCCCUUCUCCCUGGGCCACCGCUCCUGCAUCGGGCAGCAGUUUGCUCAGAUGGAGGUGAAGGUGGUCAUGGCAAAACUGCUGCAGAGGCUGGAGUUCCGGCUGGUGCCCGGGCAGCGCUUCGGGCUGCAGGAGCAGGCCACACUCAAGCCACUGGACCCCGUGCUGUGCACCCUGCGGCCCCGCGGCUGGCAGCCCGCACCCCCACCGCCCCCCUGCUGAGGGGGCCUCCAGGCAGGACGAGACUCCUCGGGCAAGGGCCGUGCCCGCCCACCUCUGCUGCCCACGGCCACCCACCCUUCUCCCCUGCCCUGUCCCCUGGGCCACCCUUCACACUGGCUUCCAGCGGGCCCUCUGCCGACCACCUGCUUCACACCCCUCAGCGCUCCCUGUCGCCUGCGGACUCCAUGGCCCUUCCUGGACUGGCCCUUGCCCAACUCCCAGCCACCACCACUGUCCCUACCACUGAGCCCUUGCACAGGCCACUUCCUCAGACGAGACACCCUAACUCUUGCUCACUCCCUAAAGCCCUCUUCAGGGGUCACCUCCUCCAAGAAGCCCUCCUUGCCACCCCCAGCCGGCAGGGGCCCCUCCUCUGUGCUCCCUCGGUCACCUGUGCUACCUCUAACACCACACUGACCACACUGUAUCGUGAGUGUCCGUUGACGUGACCAAUUGCCCUGCCAGGCUGUCAGCGCCUCAAGGGUAGGGUCUGCGUGUGAUUUGUCUCUGAGCCCCCUGUGCCCACCCAGGGCCCGGCACAGAGUCGAUGCUCAAUAAAUGUGUGUUGACUGC
rnacentral:sRNA from 1 species